GAUGAACGCUGGCGGCGUGCCUAAUACAUGCAAGUCGAGCGAACAGACGAGGAGCUUGCUCCUCUGACGUUAGCGGCGGACGGGUGAGUAACACGUGGAUAACCUACCUAUAAGACUGGGAUAACUUCGGGAAACCGGAGCUAAUACCGGAUAAUAUAUUGAACCGCAUGGUUCAAUAGUGAAAGACGGUUUUGCUGUCACUUAUAGAUGGAUCCGCGCCGCAUUAGCUAGUUGGUAAGGUAACGGCUUACCAAGGCAACGAUGCGUAGCCGACCUGAGAGGGUGAUCGGCCACACUGGAACUGAGACACGGUCCAGACUCCUACGGGAGGCAGCAGUAGGGAAUCUUCCGCAAUGGGCGAAAGCCUGACGGAGCAACGCCGCGUGAGUGAUGAAGGUCUUCGGAGCGUAAAACUCUGUUAUGAGGGAAGAACAAAUGUGUAAGUAACUAUGCACGUCUUGACGGUACCUAAUCAGAAAGCCACGGCUAACUACGUG
rnacentral:rRNA from 1 species